CACUGACCCCUCCCACACCACACUGACCCCUCCCACACCACACUGGCCCCUCCCACAUCAUGCUGGCCCCUCCCACACCACACUGACCCCUCCCACAUCAUUGAGUUGUAACUGACAAGGUUUUUAAUAUGUUGAUAUUUAAUGUUUUAUCUAUCUUCACACUUCUUUUAAUUUUGUUCCACCUGAGUAAGUCUGACCACAAGUCAGAGACCACUAUGAUGACACACCAAAAUGUGUUUGAUGGAUAGCGGGAAAAUAGGCUUUUGUAGGUUACAGUCCAAACUGUGUUGUUUUUGUCGCACUGCUUUGCUUUAACUUGGCCAGGUCGUAGUUGUAAACGAGAACUUGUUAAAUAAAUGUAAAAAAUAUAUAUAUAUAUAUAUGUCUUCCAAUGGUGCGAUUUCUGUCUGUAUGCAAAUAUUAUCCAACUUGAAUAAACGCUUGGAGGUAAGGAUGACAGCAGUGGUGUAGUCUACAGCGAUACGGAUAUCACUUACUAUAGAUAUCUACAUAGUGCAUUGAUGUGAAUCACACUGCUGCUCUCUCAUUUAGCUAUUUCCACCUUACCUAUUGUGGUUGUUGGCUGUUUACAAAUCUAAAUGUGUAUUUGAACCCAAUAAUGGUUGAAUUCAAGAAGUUUAAACUGCCUGUCAAUCAUUGUUUUUGAAACCAGUGAAAAAUGUUCUCUGGCAACAGCUGCAUAGUGCGGAUCCCAGCCUAUAGAAUAACAGCUGCAUAGUGCGGAUCCCAGCCUAUAGAAUAACAGCUACAUAGUGUGGAUCCCAGCCUAUAGAAUAACAGCUGCAUGGUGCGGAUCCCAGCCUAUAGAAUAACAGCUGCAUAGUGUUGAUCCCAGCCUAUAGAAUAACAGCUACAUAGUGUGGAUCCCAGCCUAUAGAAUAACAGCUACAUAGUGUGGAUCCCAGCCUAUAGAAUAACAGCUGCAUGGAUCCCAGCCUAUAGAAUAACAGCUGCAUGGAUCCCAGCCUAUAGAAUAACAGCUGCAUU
rnacentral:lncRNA from 1 species